UGAGGAAUAUUGGUCAAUGGGCGCAAGCCUGAACCAGCCAUGCCGCGUGCAGGAUGAAGCAUCUAUGGUGUGUAAACUGCUUUUGUACGGGAAGAAACCACCCCUCGUGAGGGGUAUUGUCGGUACCGUAAGAAUAAGGAUCGGCUAACUCCGUGCCAGCAGCCGCGGUAAUACGGAGGAUCCAAGCGUUAUCCGGAAUUAUUGGGCUUAAAGGGUCCGUAGGCGGGUCUGUAAGUCAGGGGUGAAAUUCCCCCGCUCAACGGGGAAACUGCCAUUGAUACGGCAGGUCUUGAAUUAGGGAGAAGUAACUAGAAUAUGUAGUGUAGCGGUGGAAUGCGUAGAGAUGACGAAGAAUACCGAUGGCGAAGGCAGGUUACUACCAAUUGAUUGACGCUGAUGAGCGAAAGCGUGGGGAGCGAACA
rnacentral:rRNA from 1 species